GCUGGAUUCGCUAGUAAUCGCGCAUCAGCCAUGGCGCGGUGAAUACGUUCCCGGGCCUUGUACACACCGCCCGUCAAGCCAUGGGAGCCGGGGGUGCUUGAAGUGCGUCGCCGUGAGGCGCGCCCUAGAGCGAGACCGGUGACUGGGGCUAAGUCGUAACAAGGUACC
rnacentral:rRNA from 1 species